rnacentral:rRNA from 1 species
GAUGAACGCUAGCGGCAGGCUUAACACAUGCAAGUCGAGGGGCAGCAUAAAUAGUAGCAAUACUAUUGGUGGCGACCGGCGGACGGGUGCGUAACGCGUAUACAACCUUCCCUAAACAGGGGGAUAAUCUGGAGAAAUUCGGUCUAAUACCCCAUAACAUCAGAGCAGGCAUCUGUUUUGGUUAAAAUUUCCGGAGGUUUAGGAUGGGUAUGCGUAGCAUUAGCUAGUUGGUGAGGUAACGGCUCACCAAGGCGACGAUGCUUAGGGGGACUGAGAGGUUAACCCCCCACAGUGGUACUGAGACACGGACCAGACUCCUACGGGAGGCAGCAGUGAGGAAUAUUGGUCAAUGGCGGAAGCCUGAACCAGCCAUGCCGCGUGCAGGAUGACGGCUCUAUGAGUUGUAAACUGCUUUUGUACGAGGGUAAAGUGGGCUACGUGUAGCCUUUUGAAAGUAUCGUACGAAUAAGGAUCGGCUAACUCCGUGCCAGCCGCCGCGGUAA